CAAGGAGCAGCUUGGAGGGAUGGUUCAUACAGCAGGAGCAGCAAAGGAUGCGCUACCAUGGGUGGUACCAGGAAAGCAAAAGAAAAAGGGCAGCAAGCCUACGUUUGUGAGCACCUUGUUUUGACAUUAAAUGGUGUAUGAGAAGACUCUUUUUUCUGUGGAAAGAUUAUUGAAGUACCUAGAGAUGAUGAAAGAACUUGGAAUAGUCACAAAGUUCAUCCUCUUCAUUGCAAAGCUGUUUGGUGGUAAAUGGCUGAGAUGAAACGUGGAAGAACAGACUUUAGAUCUCUUCUGCCCGAGUAGUUUCAACUCGACACCUCUCACUCUUGAGCUGCCUG